ensembl:rRNA 5S_rRNA 5S ribosomal RNA
UGCAGCAGUCACAUCACCCUGCAGCCCAAGACUGGUAACUUAUUGAAGCGAAGCAGGGCUGAGCCUGGUCCGUAACUGCAUGGGAGACCACAUGGGAAGACUAGGUUGUUGUUGCAA